rnacentral:misc_RNA from 1 species
AACACUGUUAACCUGCGGUACCUGCGGAAGGAUCAUUACAGAGUGUUUAACCCCCUAUAAAAUGGUGGGUCUAACCUCCCGUCCUUUGCUGGGUCCCCCUUCUGGAGGACUUUCAAAACUUUCUGCUUCGGCGGGGUAUACCCGCCGGAACACCCUCAAAAAAUUCUUGAUCAAAAUGGUUCGGUCCGAGAAACUUUUUGUGAAAAUUAGCGAAAAACUUUCAACAACGGAUCUCAGAUC